CGGAACGUACUGCGCCUGCGCGAAACCUGGGAUACCAGCUGGCUCAGCUGGCUGUGUUUAUGGCGCCUGAAAUCGUGUCUGGAGAACGUUUCAACAUAUUUUUUUGCUUGACAAAUUGUAAGAUGAGGAAAACUCUGUGUCGUAACCGGGCAGGAGACUUCACUGGUUUCUAAGAUGUGUAUACUGAGUCAUACUCAUAGCAAGGAGGUCCUUGGUCAUAGGUAACCAAGCGUCCAGUUCAGCCAAGACGACCAUGUGAGUAGCAGGAACAUGUGUGUGGCACUUACUCAGCUGACUACUACAACUGUUCCCAGUCGGACACAACCAAGGUGGAUCCUGUAAGACUGCAGCAUGGACUGGACUACUUGUACAGGGUGGCUGAUGUCCUUCUGUCCUAUGGUGAGUAAGGCACCAUUCUGUCCAUGUAAAUGGCUGUCAAACAUGACAAUCUGUUGUGCAGUAGAGGUGAAUGAUAUGGUGUUGCCGCUCUGCGUAUACAGGAGGGCCUGCCCAUUCUGCAGGUUAGCAACAUGAUGCCUCAGUCCAUGUUCCGUGUCAAGCUCAAAUUCCACAGCUUGUUCUGUAGACAAAGUUGAGAAUGGGCUGGGGAUGACACGAUUUGCUUCCUCAACAGUCAGCAGACAUCCAGUGGAGAAAUGGGUGUCGUAUAGUCGAUUACCCUCUCUCAUCACUUCAACAGCAAGGAGCACAAUGUUAUUACCUAUGGUAGGUGAAGACAGACAUCUGUGCGCAAACAGGAGAGAUAUCACUGCACAAGCAUUGCUGCCACCAACUCGUCUGUCUAUGGUGGAUUGUGACAGUUCAUGAGGGAAGAUGAAUUUCUUGAUGUUUGAUGGCUGUGUUUGACAGUUUGAUGGCUGUGUUUGGCAGCUUGAGGGCUGUGUUUGGCGGUUUCUUUCUUCCUCUACACGUGCUUGAGCCAAUAGGCUUGGACAUGUAAUUGUUCCUUUGCGCGAUUUGACAUGUCCCGGUUUUCUACAAUGUGAACAUCGCCGCUGUUUGACUAUUGGCAGAUUUUUCUGAUGCAGGACUGUGGAGCUUUCACCAGGCUGUGGCA